rnacentral:rRNA from 1 species
GACGUAGGGCGCGAGCGUUGUCCGGAUUUAUUGGGCGUAAAGAGCUCGUAGGCGGCUUGUUACGUCGUUCGUGAAAACUUGGGGCUCAACCCCAAGCUUGCGGUCGAUACGGGCAGGCUAGAGUUCGGUAGAGGAGACUGGAAUUCCUGGUGUAGCGGUGAAAUGCGCAGAUAUCAGGAGGAACACCGGUGGCGAAGGCGGGUCUCUGGGCCGAUACUGACGCUGAGGAGCGAAAGCGUGGGGAGCGAACAGG